rnacentral:rRNA from 1 species
AGCAAUAGCUCAAAUUUGAAAUCUGGCGUCUUCGACGUCCGAGUUGUAAUUUGUAGAGGAUGCUUCUGAGUGGCCACCGACCUAAGUUCCUUGGAACAGGACGUCAUAGAGGGUGAGAAUCCCGUAUGCGGUCGGAAAGGCGCUCUAUACGUAGCUCCUUCGACGAGUCGAGUUGUUUGGGAAUGCAGCUCUAAAUGGGAGGUAAAUUUCUUCUAAAGCUAAAUAUUGGCCAGAGACCGAUAGCGCACAAGUAGAGUGAUCGAAAGAUGAAAAGCACUUUGGAAAGAGAGUUAAAAAGCACGUGAAAUUGUUAAAAGGGAAGGGAUUGCAACCAGACUUGCUCGCGGUGUUCCGCCGGUCUUCUGACCGGUCUACUCGCCGCGUUGCAGGCCAGCAUCGUCUGGUGCCGCUGGAUAAGACUUGAGGAAUGUAGCUCCCUCGGGAGUGUUAUAGCCUCUUGUGAUGCAGCGAGCGCCGGGCGAGGUCCGCGCUUCGGCUAGGAUGCUGGCGUAAUGGUCGUAAUCCGCCCGUCUUGAAACACGGACCAAGGAGUCUAACAUCUAUGCGAGUGUUCGGGUGUCAAACCCCUACGCGUAAUGAAAGUGAACGGAGGUGAGAACCGCAAGGUGCAUCAUCGACCGAUCCUGAUGUCUUCGGAUGGAUUUGAGUAAGAGCAUAGCUUUUGGGACCCGAAAGAUGGUGAACUAUGCCUGAAUAGGGUGAAGCCAGAGGAAACUCUGGUGGAGGCUCGCAGCGGUUCUAACGUGCAAAUCGAUCGU